CGGCGCAUUAGCUAGUUGGUGAGGUAACGGCUCACCAAGCCGACGAUGCGUAGCCGACCUGAGAGGGUGAUCGGCCACACUGGGACUGAGACACGCCCCAGACUCCUACGGGAGGCAGCAGUAGGAAUCUUCCGCAAUGGACGAAAGUCUGACGGAGCAACGCCGCGUGAGUGAUGAAGGUUUUCGGAUCGUAAAACUCUGUUGURAGGGAAGAACAAGUMCGAMAGUAACUGACRCCCACCUUGACGGUACCUYACCAGAAAGCCACGGCUAACUACGUGCCAGCAGCCGCGGUAAUACGUAGGUGGCAAGCGUUGUCCGGAAUUAUUGGGCGUAAAGCGCURGCAGGCGGUCUUUUAAGUCUGAUGUGAAAGCCCACGGCUUAACCGUGGAGGGUCAUUGGAAACUGGAGGACUUGAGUACAGAAGAGGAGAGUGGAAUUCCACGUGUAGCGGUGAAAUGCGUAGAGAUGUGGAGGAACACCAGUGGCGAAGGCGACUCUCUGGUCUGUKACUGACGCUGAGGAGCGAAAGCGUGGGMAGCGAACAGGAUUAGAUACCCUGGUAGUCCACGCCGUAAACGAUGAGUGCUAGGUGUUAGGGGGUUUCCGCCCCUUAGUGCUYAAGUUAACGCAUUAAGCACUC
rnacentral:rRNA from 1 species